rnacentral:rRNA from 1 species
GAUGAACGCUGGCGGCGUGCCUAAUACAUGCAAGUCGAGCGAACCACUUCGGUGGUGAGCGGCGAACGGGUGAGUAACACGUAGGUUAUCUGCCAUCAGACGGGGACAACGAUUGGAAACGAUCGCUAAUACCGGAUAGGACGAAAGUUUAAAGGUGCUUCGGCACCACUGAUGGAUGAGCCUGCGGCGCAAUUAGCUAGUUGGUAGGGUAAAGGCCUACCAAGGCGACGAUGCGUAGCCGACCUGAGAGGGUGAACGGCCACACUGGGACUGAGACACGGCCCAGACUCCUACGGGAGGCGGCAGUAGGGAAUCUUCGGCAAUAGGGCGGAAAGACCUGACCG